UGGGUGAGUUCUGGUACGGUGAGGGCAUGAUAUUGUUGGGAACCGCGGGACGUGAGAGGUGCGAAACCAACCAUGAAAAAGUGAAGUCGAGGGAAUGGGAUGAGGUUCACAGCAAGCUUGCGAAGGUCUGAGUUGAGCUGACCAGGGAAACGGAGACAGCAUGUAACACCACUCAUGGUGGCCGAAAUUAGGUGGUUCAAAUCCCCAAAACUGGGUGUGGUGAGCUUCAGAGUACGGAAGCAGAUAUCAUAGAGAGCCUCAUUGUCGAGAACCAUACACUCAUCUGCGUUCUCCACAAGCUGAUGAACAGAGAGAGUCGCAUUGUAGGGCUCAACAACAGUGUCAGAUACCUUCGGAGAUGGGAAAACAGAGAAUGUAAGCAUCAUGCGAUCAGGAUAUUCUUCCCUUAUCUUCGAGAUCAAUAGUGUGCCCAUUCCAGACCCGGUACCGCCUCCCAAGGAGUGGCAUACCUGAAACCCUUGCAAGCAGUCACAAUUCUCAGCCUCCUUCCUCACAAC
rnacentral:misc_RNA from 1 species